CGAGUUAGUUAGGCAAUCGCUGGUUUAUUGAAGCCCUCAACUUCAUGCAAGUGUAAACUAGGGGACAAGUGAACGAGAGGAAAGUCCGAGCUACACAGGGCAGAGUGCCAGAUAACGUCUGGGGGGCGUGAGCCUACGACAAGUGCAACAGAGAGCAGACCGCCAGUUUUACUGGUAAGGGUGAAAGGGUGCGGUAAGAGCGCACCGCGUGGCUGGCAACAGUUCACGGCAAGGUAAACUCCACUCGUAGCAAGACCAAAUAGGAACUCAAUGAAUGGCCCGUUCAGAGUUCGGGUAGGUUGCUUGAGCGACAGUGCGAAUUGUCGCCUAGAGGAAUGAUUGUCCGCGACAGAACUCGGCUUAUCGACUAACUCAACAA
rnacentral:RNase_P_RNA from 1 species